rnacentral:lncRNA from 1 species
AUACGUUACAAUAAUUUCAUCAGUAGGAAAUCUAAAAUUAUCCAUUAAAGCUGACUAUGGUGAAGAAUGCUUUUAAUCUGAGCACUGUAGAAGCAGAGGCAAGCAGAUCGUUGUGAGUCUGAGGCCAGCCUGCUCUCUAUAGAAAGUCCCCGGCCAGCCAGGACUACACAGUGAGAUCCUGUUCCUGCAGGUCCAGAGCAGUCCCCAGUUGAGACUGAGAUUCGGAUUCUCUAAAAAAGAGGGAAACCUCUCUCAUCACCUGGACAUCACAAAGCCUGAGGUACUUCAGUCUGUUUCAUCCAGUGCUCUAGAGGGAAAUGUUGGUUCUUGGUCCAGCGUGUUUCCACAAGAGGCUCCACGAUGAUCCACAGCUGUUUCUUCACUUUCCAGAAAAGGAUGUGGGAGACCCAAGUCACCCGCACUCAAACCAUGGAUGGUGUGUCUCACAGGCUAGGACUUCUGAACAGAUCUGUCUCAUUCUCAACUUCUGAUAGAGAUCACUUUUACCACUUAAUAAAUGGUUUACUGUAUUUUUAAAGUCUCUCUUUCUGUGUGUGCAUGUGCGUGUGCGAUGUGAAUGGAGGCCGGAAGUGGGCAUCAGAUGCCCUGGAAUUAUAGGUAGCUGUUAGUCACCCAACAAGGGUGCUGGGAACCAAACCCGGGUACUCUGGAAGAACAGAAACUCCCAAUAGUCUGAGUCAUCUUUCCACCCCUACGAUAGCUUUAAAAAGAUAAAAUUCCAUUUUAACUCUAACUCCGGUUCCUCUUAAAAUUAAGAGUAUUUUAUAGAACACUUAGCCUCUGUCCAGACUAUUUUACCGUUCAUCCCCUUUGACAACUUCCAACGUAAAGCCAACCUUGCCGUGCGUCCUAAUCUUGAUGGCUCCCCUUCUGUGGCUAGAGCUGGCACCCGCCGGCUGCAGGUCUCCAGAAAGGCUUUGAAUGUUAAGGAGGCUCUCAUUCUUUCUUUCCACAGUCAGACCAUGAAGGUUGCCUCCACCCUCUGAGAGCUGAUGUUAAUGGCGUUUUAAUAAGUGUUUUGCAGUUUUCUUUCACCCAGCUAGCUCCCAAAUAAUUGAG